rnacentral:lncRNA from 1 species
GUCUACCCCCCUUAAAAGAGGUUUCGUCCCCGAAACCUGAGCACAUAACCAAUUUAAAUACUGACAUACCGAAGAGAAAAGGAUAGUGUUUCCUCAUUUCGUCUUCUGCUUCCCACGUAAGAUCCGAACCUUUCCGGUGCCGCCAUUGCACCAAUACCUGUUUAACAGCUUUGUUGUGGAGAUUCUUCACUUUGAAGUCUUUAAUGGCUAUGGGUCUUUCAACAUAGUUUAACCCCUCGUCCAACUCAAUGUCAUCGAGAGGUACUAAUGCUGUGUCAUCCGCAACACAUUUCCUCAAUUGCGACACGUGGAAGGUAUUGUGAAUCCCCUCUAGAGCAGGCGGUAAUUUUAAUCGAUACGCAACCCUUCCAACCCGAGCUAAGAUUUUAAACGGUCCGAUGUAACGGGGACCUAACUUACCCCGUUUGCGAAAACGGAUUAUACCCUUCCAUGGGGACACUUUUAGCAAGACAAAAUCUCCGACUUGGAAUUCAAUAGGACGCCUUCUCUUGUCUGCAUAAGCUUUUUACCGAUCUUGGGCUGCUUUCAACUUUGUUCUAACCAUUUCAAUCUUUUCAUUCGUUACCGCUAUUAAAUCACUUGGUGAAAGCUCUCUUUGUCCUACUUCGCCCCAACAUACGGGAGUCCUACAUUUUCUCCCGUAUAGUAGUUCGUAAGGUUCCAUUUGAAUACCGCUAUGGUAACUGUUAUUAUAAGAAAAUUCGACCAGUGGCAAUUGGUCGUCCCAACUUCCCGUAAAAUCUAAGGCACACACCCUCAGCAUAUCAACAAGUGUUUGAAUGGUUCUUUCUGACUGGCCGUCAGUUUGAGGGUGGUAGGCGGUACUUAUGUGCAAUUUCGUACCCACACUCUCAUGAAACUUUUGCCAGUAACGAGAAGUAAAUCUAGUGUCCCGAUCCGAGACAAUCGACACGGGCACUCCGUGUCGGGAUAUGAUCUCGUUCAUAUAAAUUCCUGCCAUCUUCUCGGAAGAGUAAGCUUCUUUGAUGGGUAGAAAGUGAGCGCUUUUUGUAAGUCGGUCUACGAUUACCCAUAUUGUAUCGUGCCCUUUCUUUGUUUUAGGAAGCUUGGUUAUCAAAUCCAUCGUUAGUUCUUCCCACUUCCAUACCGGUAUCUCCAAGGGUUGUAAUUUCCCGUACGGCUUUUGAUGUUCUGCUUUCACUUGGGAGCAUGUUAAGCAUUUCGCGACAUAUUUAACUAUGUCACGCUUCAUGCCCGGCCACCAAUAAUUGGCUUUCAAGUCCCGAUACAUCUUUGUAGCCCCGGGAUGGACCGAAUAUCGAGACUUAUGUGCCUCGUUGAGCAAAGCAGCCUUGACUUCACAGAAUCGUGGGAUCCAGAUUCGGCCGAACCGCGUCUUAAGUCCAGUCGAAUUCUCUUCUAGAUUAUCGAUCACACCUUUUAAUCGUUCUUUCUUCAGGUCUUCCGCUCCGAGCGACUUUAUUUGGGAUUCGCGUAUCGUCUCGAGUAAUCUUGGCGUAACUGUCAUCUUCAUGGAUUUCACUCGAAGGGGAGAUGGAUACUCUUUACGGCUUAACGCAUCGGCUACCACGUUUGCCUUUCCCGGGUCCGCUUUUCGUUAAUGUUAGAUUAAUUACAAAAGGAUAAAUUUUCGGACAUCGGAAUACCAACUUUGACACCUAAUAAUAUUUUUUUACAAAAUUUGGGCAUGACCCGUCUGUAAAACGGACAUGCCCCCUGUUUUGACAUAAUUGACAAUAUUCACCUACGACCCUACUAGCUUUAAACUACCCAAACAAAACAACAAGUUUUCAAGUGUAAGACUUCUAACAAGAUUAAACAAAGUAACAAAACAUGGACACAAAGCAUGUAUAAAAACUAGCGGAAGCGCUUGGUAUAAAAAGGCUUGAUCAUGUGCUCGCUCCAUAUCCCCAAAUCGCCUAUAGCGGAGUU